CCAGACUCCUACGGGAGGCAGCAGUGGGGAAUAUUGCACAAUGGGGGGAACCCUGAUGCAGCGAUGCCGCGUGGAGGAAGAAGGUUUUCGGAUUGUAAACUCCUUUUAUCAGGGACGAUAAUGACGGUACCUGAAGAAAAAGCUCCGGCUAACUACGUGCCAGCAGCCGCGGUAAUACGUAGGGGGCAAGCGUUAUCCGGAAUUACUGGGUGUAAAGGGAGCGUAGACGGCUGUGCAAGUCUGGAGUGAAAGGCGGGGGCCCAACCCCCGGACUGCUCUGGAAACUGUAUGGCUGGAGUGCAGGAGAGGGAAGCGGAAUUCCUAGUGUAGCGGUGAAAUGCGUAGAUAUUAGGAGGAACACCAGUGGCGAAGGCGGCGUACUGGACUGUAACUGACGUUGAGGCUCGAAAGCGUGGGGAGCAAACAGGAUUAGAUACCCCCGUAAGC
rnacentral:rRNA from 1 species